UCACCUUUCCAUCCUAUCAUUCAUCCUACUCGCUCCCUCUCCAACUCGACCGCCCCGCCGCCGGCCGCCGGCCGCCAUCUCCCGCCGCCGACCACCCCCGACCCACCGGCCGCGCCCAGCCCCAACUCGCCCCCGUUGCUGUCCUUGUGUCGCUGUCCCCGCCCGCGUUGCGCCUGGAUUGCACUCAGCCUUGGCCGCAAUCCAUCCGUGCUUUCCGGCGCUACCCACCACACAUCGAGGCCGGCCGACGAGGUAAGGGUGCGGUGCGAAGCGUUGGUCAGAUGCCCCAGUACCUUGCGGUCGGCGUGCUACACGGAGUGUGUGAACUGUGAAGCCGCCGGCGCAGCUAGCUUUGGCAUGAGCACAACCGCACGAGGCAAGCUCAGGUUGAGCAAAAAAGAGCCGCAAGACUUGCUGCGGGAGGGUGCGAGAUUGCUAUUUCGAGCUGCUAAUGCUGGGAUGGACAAUCAGCUCAUAAACUCUAUUGCGGGUGAUAAAGAUUAUGCUCCACCUUAAGAAGACUAAUGAUAUGAUGUCAUGGAGUUCUUUACAAUUCUUGUUUGUGUGGGUGCUGAUAUCGUUAGUGAGUUGUGUCUCCUAUUUUGGUAGGAUGUGCAUGAACUUGUUAUGUUCUCACGCAUGUUUUCCUUGUGGUAGUCCUGAACUAGGCUUCUGCCAUAGAAACUAUCCUCCCCUCCCUCUCUUCUCACCUGUUGUGUGGAAAAAUUGGCAAACAAAUGUAUUUCUGUUACAUCAGUAAUUGAAAUGGGGUUCACUCUGGUAAAAAA